rfam:Salmo salar isolate Sally breed double haploid chromosome ssa03, whole genome shotgun sequence.
UGUAUUCAAUACUGUAAGUCGCUCUGGAUAAGAGCGUCUGCUAAAAUGACUAAGA